CAGCAGCCGCGGUAAUACGAAGGGUGCAAGCGUUAAUCGGAAUUACUGGGCGUAAAGGGUGCGUAGGCGGUUUGUUAAGUCUGUCGUGAAAUCCCCGGGCUCAACCUGGGAAUGGCGAUGGAUACUGGCAAGCUAGAGUGUGUCAGAGGAUGGUGGAAUUUCCGGUGUAGCGGUGAAAUGCGUAGAGAUCGAAGGGACAUCAGUGGCGAAGGCGGCCAUCUGGGACAACACUGACGCUGAAGCACGAAAGCGUGGGGAGCAAACAGGAUUAGAUACCCUGGUAGUCCACGCCCUAAACGAUGCGAACUGGAUGUUGGUCUCAACUCGGAGAUCAGUGUCGAAGCUAACGCGUUAAGUUCGCCGCCUGGGGAGUACGGUCGCAAGACUGAAACUCAAAGGAAUUGACGGGGGCCCGCACAAGCGGUGGAGUAUGUGGUUUAAUUCGAUGCAACGCGAAGAACCUUACCUGGCCUUGACAUGUCUGGAAUCCUGCAGAGAUGCGGGAGUGCCAUCGGGAAUCAGAACACAGGUGCUGCAUGGCUGUCGUCAGCUCGUGUCGUGAGAUGUUGGGUUAAGUCCCGCAACGAGCGCAACCCUUGUCCUUAGUUGCCAGCACGUAAUGGUGGGAACUCUAAGGAGACUGCCGGUGACAAACCGGAGGAAGGUGGGGAUGACGUCAAGUCCUCAUGGCCCUUACGGCCAGGGCUACACACGUACUACAAUGGUCGGUACAGAGGGUUGCAAUACCGCGAGGUGGAGCCAAUCCCAGAAAGCCGAUCCCAGUCCGGAUCGGAGUCUGCAACUCGACUCCGUGAAGUUGGAAUCGCUAGUAAUCGCGGAUCAGCUAUGCCGCGGUGAUACGUUCCCGGGCCUGUACACACCGCCCGU
rnacentral:rRNA from 1 species